rnacentral:rRNA from 1 species
GAGCUCCCAUGGCGCCUGUUUAUCAAAAACAUGGUUUUUUGUGAUUAUAGAAAAUUUGGUCUGCUCACUGCUAAAUGUGAAUAGCCGCAGUAUUUUGACUGUGCUAAGGUAGCAUAAUCAUUUGUCUUUUAAUUAAAGGCUAGUAUGAAUGAUUUAACGAGAUAAUUUCUGUCUCUAUAAUUUUUUUUGAAGUUAAUUAGUUGGUAAAAAGGCUAAUAUAAACCUGAAGGACGAUAAGACCCUAUUAAGCUUGAUUUUAGAAUUUUACUGGGGCGGUAAUUUAAGAAUAGAAUCUUAAUAUAAGGAUAUUAAAGGAAUAGACCCAAUAAUAUUGAGUAAUAGAAUGAGUUACUAUAGGGAUAACAGCUUAAUUUUUUUAUGGAGAUCUUAUCUUAAAAGAAGUUUGUGACCUCGAUGUUGAAUUAAAGUUCCUAUUUGGUGAAGUAGCUAAAUUAGGUGGUCUGUUCGACCUUUAAACCUUUACGUGAUCUGAGUUCAGACCGGCCAUGGGAGCUC